GGGUGUACUUGGUUUGCAUUCACUAUCGUAAGGCAUUAUGGGAGGUGUAGUUCCUAGUGUUUCAUGCUAUUAGUUCUCUGCGUUGUUUUGUAUUAUCCGGAGCACAGCAUUGUGGGAGUUAUCAUUCUUUUCACAUCUGAGUUGGUUUUGAGACUACUUCAUAGAAUCACCUAAAUCUGCAACCCCAGAAUAUUGUAAAGCAAUUUUAUUGUCUUUCACGUAUAGAUGAAACCAACCUGUGUUAUGUGCAUGUUACAGAAUCAUAACAUCACAGAAAACUACUAGAAAGACAAGGUGGAUGACUAAGUCUCUUCACUUUCUUCCUCAUUGUCCUAUAUACAUGGAAUGCCCUCCCUACGCUUGUCCAGUCCAUCUAGCCCAGUAUCCUGUCUUCCAACAGUGGCCAAUGCCAGCUGCCCCAGAGGGAAUGAACAGAACAGUUGUGAUCCUGCAAGUUGUUCUACAUGAGUGGAUCCCUGAGUCAAACAGUGUCUUCUUCUGGUUUGCGGAAACCGGCUUCCUAUUGGCUAGGACGGAAGUGUCACAUGACUCGGAGCCGCGUUAUGCGAGUGCAAAAUUCACGCCGCUACCAAAGAUGGCGGCCUCUAUUGGAGUGGCGGCCUGUCGGGCUCUGCACAGCCGCUGCCAUGGGAAGUUGCUGUCUAUAGGUCGGGGGCUCUUCAGUGGGGCGCGGUGCCUUGUCGCGGAGGGGGAGACGAACUUCGGAUUCCAGACUGUGUCGGAGGCGGAGAAAGGGGAGAAAGUUUACCAUGUAUUUGAAAGUGUGGCUAAGAAGUAUGAUAUGAUGAAUGAUUCAAUGAGUCUGGGGAUUCAUCGGCUCUGGAAGGAUAUCCUGCUGCAUCAAAUGAACCCUUACCCAGGAACUCAGCUGUUAGAUGUUGCUGGAGGGACAGGUGACAUCGCCUUUCGGUUUAUCAAUUAUGUUCGUUCCCAGUGGGAGCACCAGAUCAGACAGAAACUGAAAUCCCAUCAGAAUUUAUCAUGGCAGGAAAUCUCUAAGAGUUACGAGGAAGAGGAACUUAAAUUGCCAGGAGGGUCCCAAGUGGUGGUCUGUGACAUUAACAAGGAAAUGAUAAAAGUUGGAAAGCAGAAAGCACAACAUCUUGGCUACUCCGAAGGCUUGUCCUGGGUGGUUGGGAAUGCUGAAGAGCUGCCCUUCAAUGACAACAAGUUUGAUGUUUACACAAUUGCCUUUGGAAUACGGAAUGUAACUCAUAUUGACCAGGCACUUCAGGAGGCGUAUCGUGUGCUGAAACCAGGAGGGAGAUUUCUGUGUCUGGAAUUUAGUCAAGUCAGCAACCCCCUUGUUUCCAGGCUCUAUGACUUGUACAGUUUCCAGGUUAUCCCUGUUCUGGGUGAGAUUAUUGCUGGAGAUUGGAAGUCCUACCAGUACCUUGUGGAAAGCAUCCGACGCUUUCCAGCCCAGGAGGUGUUCAAGGCAAUGAUUGAAGAUGCAGGUUUUCUGAAGGUGGAAUAUCGGAAUCUAACAGCAGGCAUUGUAGCCAUUCACUCAGGUUUCAAACUGUGACCCUCCUACUUUGCAAAGCUCUUGAAGAAUAAAGGGUAUUUCCCCUGAAGAAGCUAAAAAGCUAUGCAACUCCAAAAACUUCACUGCCACGAUAGUCUGAGGGGAUGGGAAGACUUGGUCCCUCUGCAGAAUCUAAAGCUUCAGAUUUUGGGUUUCUGGAAAGUUGAAAUUAUGUUCUUACAACCAUGUCAGGACCUAGAAUCCCUCUAGCACUUACCCAUUUAUCAUCAAGCCCUGAAGAACAAAGGAAGCAGCACUGGACUGGGGGCUGGAAAUCCUGACAAAGUGGUUCAGCCAGGAAGACUGCUAGUACUUGUGGUGAGAGAGACCUUUGCUUUGUAUUCACUUAGCUUGUUAAGUUAGGUGUAGUUGUGUUUUACCUUUUAUUUCCUUGUAACCAAUCCUGACUUAUACCUGUAGUCACUUAAUCUGUUUUUCUAUAGUUAAUAGAUUUGUUGUAUUAUCUAAACCAGUGUGUUUGGACUGAAGUAUUUGGGAUAACAAGACUUGUGCAUAUCAUUUUCUAUUAAUAAAUGACAGACUUGAUACAAGUUUGUAUUGUCCAGGAGGGUGCUGGGCAGUACAAAGCACAUUUCUGGGGGAAAGUCAGGGACUGGGAGUUUGCUGGUGUUGGCCUGCAGUGUAAUUCAUGGGUGGCUGCCUAUAGCACUCAUACAGUAUGGCUGGGAGUGAUUUAUAUGCUGGAGGCUGAGAGCGAGCAGAUCAGAAGUGGUUGCUCUCACAGCGAAACAGGGUUUAUAAAAGACAUCCCCAGGUUCGGGAAUUGAGGGGACAGCUGUUCAUCAGUCCAGACUGUACUCUGGUUAAUGUCAACUGCCCACCUGCCAAGUCUUGCAUGACUCAAGCCAGUUUACUAAGUGUACAUAUUCUCCCCUUCCAUCCAAGAAUCUAGCACAUCCUCCUAGUAGAUCCUUAGCACAAUAGCUUUCAAGCUAUGGAUCUCAACCAGCAAUAGGGCAACGCCCUUGCUAGUGAUCUGCAAAAGAAUUUUGAAAGUCAAGCAGUAAAGGAAUUGGGUAUGGAAGAGGGGUGACACAGGAUCUCAAACAGGUGCACACAAUGAAAGUGCAGAGUACUUAAGAGGCAUUCCAGUGAGUCCAUCAUGCUAGUCUGCAUUAUCCUAGUUCGUAAGAACAUAAGUGAAAAUAGUGAGUUGAUCCACAGAGGAAAAGAUCAGAGCAUAACAAGCCCUAAUAC